rnacentral:rRNA from 1 species
AAUCAACGCUGGCGGCGUGCCUCAGACAUGCAAGUCGAACGAUUAAACUUUCCUUCGGGAAAGAUAUAAAGUGGCGCACGGGUGAGUAACACGUAGGUAAUGUACCUUUGGGUGGGGAAUAACUAUCGGAAACGAUAGCUAAUACCGCAUAAUGCAGCGGCUCCUAUGGAGACAGUUGUUAAAGAUUUAUCGCCUAAAGAGCAGCCUGCGGCAGAUUAGCUAGUUGGUAAGGUAAUGGCUUACCAAGGCUACGAUCUGUAACCGACCUGAGAGGGUGGUCGGUCACACUGACACUGAAUAACGGGUCAGACUCCUACGGGAGGCAGCAGUCGGGAAUUUUGGGCAAUGGGCGAAAGCCUGACCCAGCAACGCCGCGUGAAGGAUGAAGUCUUUCGGGAUGUAAACUUCGUAAGAAUAGGAAGAAUAAAUGACGGUACUAUUUGUAAGGUCCGGCUAACUACGUGCCAGCAGCCGCGGUAAAAC